CCGGCCCAAGUUGGUUUCACAAUUAAUCUAGGUCAUUACCUUUUCCCAGCCUCCCUGUUCCUCUCGAUCUCUCUCACGCUGCCCACCGCCCCUCAACCUACCUGCAUCCCGGAGCGCCGCCCCUCACCACUCCCCUGCGAUCCUCCGUCUCGGAAGGCCGCCCCUCACCACUCCCCCUGCGAUUCUCCAUCCUGGCGCGCUGUCCCUAGUCAACUCUCCUCUGCGACCUUGCUUCCCGGUGCGCCGCCCCUCGUCACCGCUUCCCUACGACCUACUACGUCUACUACCUCCGCACGAGGGCCUGCGGCUAUGGGCAGAGUUACCGCUACAACAACCCUCGCAAUCGCGCUGCCGUGAGAAAUGCAAUCACACUCAAGCACUGAUAUGUUGCAAUGGACAUGACCCCAAAACUUUCGCCCUGUCUUUUAUUUGAGACACAGUUUGGUAACUUUUUGUUGCAUAUUUUCAUCCGCUUAAAAGACCAUUUCGAUCUCUAUGUUCUCUGCUACUACAAUCUGAGGAGCAGCUUGACAACUUUAUGCAGCUCGGUCGACUAAGCCACUGUGACGCUGGGGGAGAAGGACAUCGGUGCAGAGCAUGGCAAGGCCGAGUACUUGUUGGAUCUUAGGGCUUCUGAUCCACAGUUCUCCGCAUCAUCAUCCAUCAGCAUCUGGUGACAUUAUUAGCACUCAGAGCUUCAUAAGGCUUUCUGCCCACUACAGUUGGAGUUCAAGAGCGUAAGGAAGGUAAUCUGGUGAUCAAUCACUGUUGCUUGUCAGAAAACUCUGAAAAUAUUAUUGAGUACAUCUACCAUGAGCUAUGCUUGCCAUUUUAAAAGAUGUUUAUGUGAGCUUCAUGUCAUAUCAAUUUUUUUUGAAGCAAGCAGAUCUUGGGAUUUACUUAUGAUUUAUGAACAGAAAAUGUUUACUGUGUAACCCCUAAAUACAGUAGAAGAGAUUAGAGAAGCAGGUCUUAUAAAACUACGCUGAGCGAGUAGUACUUAUUUAGUCAAGUGACAUGUUAGAUAAAAUUCUACACCUAUUACAACUUAUCUGACUUCUGUAUUUUGUAAAGAUAGUUGAACUAGAUUGUGUUCCAGGAAUAAAAAACCAUGGAUGUUUUCCAUUUAUUCACUUGGCUUUUGGAAUUUGAUUGAUGUCCCCUUUCUCAUAUUAUUAACAACAUAUACCUACACGGUUCUCUCUACUGGUUUGCCAAAUUCUAGACACUUCUUGUGUGGUCCAUGCUUCCUCUUUGUACUAUGCUUACCUACAUUCGUAAUAUCACUCCUUUAUUCCCUUGACGUGCUUUUCCUUUACAAAGAAGAAUACACACCAUGGGGAAAAGAGAAGUAAAUUUGUAUUUGUAGUCUACAAACAGGGCGUCCUAAUUAUUUGUUCGAGCAUGCUACAGUCUUGUUUUCUCUGCCGUGUCUUCUCCUUUUCUUAGUAGUGUCACUACUGAUUGAUCUGCUCAGAUGUGCUAUUUAGAGUUUGAUAUAGAUAUAUACUAGCUAUUUUAUUAGGAGUUGGUGGUAAAGAUGAACUAAUGGUCGAUCCUCCCUGCUGUCCUCGCUGCACUUCAUGCAAAAUCAUUGGGCCGGUACUGGGAGUACCUCAUUUAUGAUGGAUCUUAUACUUCAAAGCUUAUUUAUAUUGCCUAAUAUGUUUUAUUUGUACUAAUUCGGUAAAUUUAAUUUAUCUUUUGGCUUAAUAUGUCCAAGGUAUUGAUAUAGUAAUAUUUUGUUACCUGAUUAAAGCUCAAACAUACUGCUUCAGUAUCUCCCAGUAGGUGCCUCAGAAUUAUGCAGUUGAUCGUACCAUACUGCUACUUGAAUAAAAAUGUUUAUCUUUGUGUUCUACACUGAAGCUAUCAUAUGAAGUUUAAUUAUUUUAAGCGUUCAUCACCAAAACUACUUUGUUGGUAGUGAAAGGCUUCAUAGAAUUUCAUAGAUGUUGCACAUCAUGAGAUUAACCCGUAGAAGAAUGUAUUCAUAACCAUAUGACGUGUGUGAUGUUGGGUUAUAGCCGUUGUAUGCUGAAAGGCUUUUUCCCUUGCUUCCUUCCAUUUUCUUCUAUGUGCAUUGACUAGACGUAUGUUUUUACAAUGUGGCAUGGUUUGAGCAUUUUAAAUUCUUUACACGCUUCCAUUAUUUCCCGCCCCAUUUAUAUUGGUAUGUCCUUUAAAUAGCAGGCAGGUACAUGUGUGAUGGCACAAUAUAACUCAGUGUUAGCUGGCUUAUAAUCUCUUAUCCCUUGAAAGACUUCAAAGAUGGCAUCUCAUGGGACAACACAAGAGACCAUAUAGUAAAGGAAAAGAUGCAAACACGAUAGGCAGGACCAAAAGUAUUUUUAAUGAGCCUGAAAAAUCAUAACGGAGACCGGUAUUGCUACAAUUAUUCAAAAGAUAAAUGGAUGAUUAUAUGGGUGUGUGGGCAAGCAUACUACUAUGAUGACGAUGAUGUUUGUGUUCAUGAUGAUGGAGACGGAUGCUUUCAGUUUUAGUAAAGUUGUAGGGAUGAUGUUCCUGUUGGACGAUGUUCCUCAAUUAUGUUUUAGUUAAUCUGUAGGGAUGUUGAUGCAUGCUUUCAAUUUAAGUUUCACCAUCAAGAGAACAUUUAUAUUAUACUCCCUCCA